rnacentral:rRNA from 1 species
UACGGGGGGAGCAAGCGUUGUUCGGAUUUACUGGGCGUAAAGGGCGCGUAGGCGGCCACUGCAAGUCGGUUGUGAAAUCUCCGGGCUUAACCCGGAAAGGUCAAUCGAUACUGCAGGGCUAGAGUGCAGAAGGGGCAACUGGAAUUCUCGGUGUAGCGGUGAAAUGCGUAGAUAUCGAGAGGAACACCUGCGGCGAAGGCGGGUUGCUGGGCUGACACUGACGCUGAAGCGCGAAAGCCAGGGGAGCAAACGGG